rnacentral:tRNA from 1 species
GCCACCUUAGCUCAGUUGGCAGAGCGACACAUUCGUAACGUGUAGGUCCGGGGUUCGAUCCCCCGAGGUGGCUCUA